rnacentral:rRNA from 1 species
GGAGGAAAGUAGGGGAUCGCAAGACCUUGCGCUAAAGGAGCGGCCGAUGUCUGAUUAGCUAGUUGGUGGGGUAAAGGCUUACCAAGGCAACGAUCAGUAGUUGGUCUGAGAGGACGGCCAACCACACUGGGACUGAGACACGGCCCAGACUCCUACGGGAGGCAGCAGUGGGGAAUUUUGGACAAUGGGCGAAAGCCUGAUCCAGCCAUGCCGCGUGAGUGAAGAAGGCCUUCGGGUUGUAAAGCUCUUUUAGUCGGAAAGAAAGAGUUGCAAUGAAUAAUUGUGAUUUAUGACGGUACCGACAGAAAAAGCACCGGCUAACUACGUGCCAGCAGCCGCGGUAAUACGUAGGGUGCGAGCGUUAAUCGGAAUUACUGGGCGUAAAGGGUGCGCAGGCGGUCUUGCAAGUCAGAUGUGAAAGCCCCGGGCUUAACCUGGGAAUUGCGUUUGAAACUACAAGGCUAG